rnacentral:pre_miRNA from 14 species
UCCCGCACCGGCCACCGGGGCCCUCCCGUCUGGAAGACUAGUGAUUUUGUUGUUCUGUCAAACUUGGAAACAAGAAAUCACUAUCUCCGAACGGUGGGCGCCCUCGUCACAACAUCGGCGG